CAGUCGCCGCGGUAAUACGGAGGGUGCAAGCGUUAAUCGGAAUUACUGGGCGUAAAGCGUGCGUAGGCGGUUCGUUAAGUCUGUUGUGAAAGCCCCGGGCUCAACCUGGGAAUGGCAAUGGAUACUGGCGAGCUAGAGUGUGUCAGAGGAUGGUGGAAUUCCCGGUGUAGCGGUGAAAUGCGUAGAGACCGGGAGGAACAUCAGUGGCGAAGGCGGCCAUCUGGGACAACACUGACGCUGAGGCACGAAAGCGUGGGGAGCAAACAGGAUUAGAUACCCCCGUAGUCCCUGUCUCUUAUAC
rnacentral:rRNA from 1 species